rnacentral:tRNA from 1 species
GGGUCGGUAGCUCAGUCGGCAGAGCAGCAGCCUUUUAAGCUGACGGUCCUGGGUUCGAGCCCCAGCCGACCCA